CACAGUUCUUGUUGUAUAUAAUAUUGCUUUAUAAGAAUCUGGAAAGCUACAUAUAUUAAUUAAGUGCUAUAAGUAAUCCAAACAAAUAAGUAGGGGGAAAGAAAAAUCGUAAGUUAGGAUCCUAUUUGACUUUCAUGUCAAAAAUAUGGUGCCAUCUGUUAGCGUAAUGGUCACAGAUACUACGAACGAGAUAGUGCGGAAUGAUUGUAAUUAUUGUAAGCAGAUGUCACUGGUAAAAACUGAAAUCUUCGAAAAAGGAUAACGUGACUGGAAUUUGUUGGCCCAGGACAGCGUCCGGUGUAGGGAGUCGAUAAAUUCUGUGGUAACGGUUACGUUCUCUGAGUCCGUCCUGUGAAGCCAACAGUCCCUCAGCCACUCAAGAAAUUCCCAACAUUUUAAGGAAACCAGAGAUUCAUUACCAUGUUAUCGAGAGCUUGCCACUGGUCCCUAUCCUCAGCCAGCUGUAUCCAGUCCAUACCACUCAAACCUAAAAUUUACCAACUCAAAAAGAGCAAGCUGCCAUUCUGAAGCCAACAUAGAAAUGUCAAAGGAAGAGUAUAUUCAAGCACAUGGUUGUGACAG